UUGUUCUCAUUAAAUGAUAUCUGUUGGGACAAGGUCUCUUUCUUGAAUAGUAGUUGUAGUGGCGACGUGAAGAUUAUUUUGGUAUACUAAUCAAAGAAACAAGUACGUUUGAAUAAUCAAGGUUGAAGAAUAUAUAUGGAAAAGCAAUGCAUAAUAAAAUUUCAUAUUUGAUUAUGGCUUGUCAUAAUUGUCUGGUUUUGUUGGAGAUCAUUUUGUUGCUAUGUACAAUCGACGCAUCAGAGCCAUUAAUGUGUGGUCAAUGUGGGAAUUUCGGAUCUGAUGACUACCCGUUUGGAAUCGGAGAAGGAUGCUACUUUGAUAAGAGUUUUGAAGUAUUCUGUGACAACUCUUCCGGUUCUCCGAAACCUCUACUCAAAAGCAUCAACCUCAAUAUGUUGCUAAAUUUUGUGUUUCAGAAAGGCCUUAUAGCAGUCGAGGCUCCUGUAAUUUCUUUGAAUAGCAGCAAGUCAAUGGGUAAUGCUAAAGGUGUUAACCUGACAGGCACCCCGUUUUCUUUUUCUCAGAAGAACAAUAAAUUCACUACCGCAGGCUGUGACAGCUAUGCCAAGCUAAAUCAGAAGAAUGAUUCAAGUAAUUCAGGUAAGUGCCAGUCAGUUUGUACGUGUGAUCCUACACAGUACGCUGAUUGCUGUGAUUUGUUAUGUACCGUUCCUCCAAAUACUAAGGUUUUCGAUACGAAUUCAUCGUACAAAUACUAUCAAAGUAUUCCACAGGAAUGCUCCGUUGUCUUCGUGGUAGAGCAAGAGUGGCUCUUUAACAACUAUCAGACUAAUUCCGUUGUUCUGAAGGAUCAAGAACAAGUUCCUGCAGUGCUGGAGUGGGGGAAAUAUAAAGGCACUUGUACGGAAGAAUACAAUUCACACACUAAAAUGUGUAAUAAGGAUAACCACUGUCUAUUACAAUUAGGCACAGGUCAUUUUUGUCUUUGCGAUUACACAAGAUCCGUGGCUUCCCGACACUGUGCAGGUACAUGUUUUACUUAUUAUUACCUUUUCUUAGGGCUUGCAAAUGAGCAAAACUCUGUUAUUUUAAGGCAUAGUUGAAUUUGAUCUUUUCUAUUUGGGCAUUAAUUGUGCAGGUGACUUGAUCUGUAGUACCACAGGCGGACACAAUUGCUCCGAAUGUCCUCAAGGUUAUUACCUCUCAAGUUAUAAUUCUGACCAAGAGCCACUAUGCUCAAGAAGUACUCAAUUAACAUUUGGGAAAAAAUCUCGGAACAAAUAUAUUGUUAUAGGUACUUGUAUCCAUUUUACCUUUUUUCCACUACGUGUUAUAUGGGAUUAUAGCCACAUUUCAGCUUAACUUUGAAAGCACAAUAACAAGAAUGAAAACUUUGUCCUUGAGUGGUGCAGGUUGCACCAGUGGUGGGUUUGGGAUGUUGUGUCUACUCACUGGAGCAUGGUGGGUGUACAAGUUUCUCAAGCGAAAAAUGGAAAUCAUGCUCAAGCAAAAGUUCUUCAAGAGAAAUGGUGGUUUAUUGCUGCAACAAGAGUUGGCUUCCACUGAAGGUAAUAUUGACAAAUCAAAAUUGUUUACUUCUAAGGAAUUGGAAACAGCCACUGAUCACUAUAACACGAAUCGAAUUCUUGGCCAAGGGGGCCAAGGCACUGUGUACAAAGGAAUGCUAGCAGAUGGAAAAAUCGUGGCUAUUAAAAAAUCCAAAGUAAUAGAUGAGAGUAAAGUUGAUGAAUUCAUCAAUGAGGUGGCUAUUUUGUCUCAAAUUAACCAUAGAAAUGUUGUUAAACUACUAGGAUGUUGCUUGGAGACUGAAGUUCCUCUUUUAGUCUAUGAGUUCAUUAUCAAUGGAACACUCUUUCAAUACUUACACGAUCAAAAUGAGGAGUUUCCAAUCACAUGGGAAAUUCGACUGCGGAUUGCUAUUGAAGUUUCAGAUGCUCUGUCCUAUCUACAUUCUGCUGCUUCGAUACCCAUUUAUCAUCGAGAUAUCAAGUCUACAAACAUACUUUUGGAUGGUAAAUAUCGUGCCAAAGUUUCAGAUUUUGGGGCAUCAAGAUCUAUGUCAAUUGAUCAAACACAUAUGACUACUCAAGUCCAAGGUACCUUUGGAUACUUAGAUCCUGAGUAUUUUCGAUCGAGUCGAUUUACAGAGAAAAGUGAUGUUUACAGCUUUGGAGUGGUUCUUGCUGAGCUCUUAACAGGAGAGAGAGCAAUUCGUGUCACCAACUUCGAAGAAGACAAAAGUUUAGCAGCAUACUUUCUACGUGCAAUGAAAGAGGACAGUUUGUUUGAAAUCCUUGAUGCUCAUGUCCUGAAGGAGGCUUCCCAAGAAGACAUUGUAACAGUUGCUAAACUCACAAAUAGAUGCUUGAAUCUUAAUGGGAAGAAAAGGCCUACAAUGAAAGAAGUAGCCGUGGUAUUAGCAGGGAUUAAAGCAUGCGAUGGAACUUCAAAUAUUAUCCAAGAAAGUGUUGAGAGCGACAUAGCUGAAAGUUAUGAAACUGGUGAAUCUUUCACCGAAUCAUAUACUGAUAGUGUCACUAUUCCGGUGGAUGCUGAUCCUCUAAUUUCAAAAAAUGGUGAGGACUGAGGAGAUUCUCAAUAAUGUAACUGAAAGUUUCUAUGCAGUUGAAUUUCAAGUUAUAUGUUAGAAUAUUUCAUGUUUAAUAAUAAUCAAUAUGUUUGAAUUUCAUUUCAUAAUUAAAAUUGGGAGACUUUUAGUAUUGUUUACUUCCAUUUACUACGCUUUUGAGAAUCUUGCGCCUCAUGACUUCCAUUUAUUGUGGACCCAGACGGGUAUUUCAUAAAUCCGCGUCCCAAUUUACAAGAGGCUAUAUAAAUUCUGGUGGUCCAGGCUACUUCAUAUGUGAUUUUCUAAUUACUGGGUUAGAAUUAGAGAAUUUUCUGUAUGGGAAAUUUGUUCUUUGUAAGGAGUUCUCGAAUUGUUGUGCCAUAAUAGAAGCUUGCUUAAUGCGUGUUUAUAGUGUGAGAUUAGGCAGUUUUGGCUGAGCCAUUCUAGUCUAUGAUUUCUAGUUCUUUUCUCUGCUCUUGGUUAUUCAAUUUAUUGUCGUAUCAUCCUCAAAGUUUGUCUAUCGUUGGACUGGACGUACCCAAAAAUCAUGAAAUGGAUCCAAUAAUUUUAAUGCUGGUGUCUAUUUUAGAUCAACUGCAUUGACAUAAAAAAUUUUCAUAAUGGUAUAUACGUUGUAUCAAGUCAUACACGAUACUCGCAAGGGAUUUUUAGGAUAAGAUGACUGGAGUCCCUUCAAGCGCAGAUUUUCUAUUUAGCAUUUUACUACCCUUGUAAAUCUCCUACUCUCUCUUUUCAUUAACAAAUUUGAUCAUUUAUAUUAAAUAAGUCAUAAUUAAAAUGGUUUUCACUUCCGUCAUAAUAAAAUAUUAAAAUGCUCAAUUUCAGCACCAUCUCAUCAAUGUAAUUUGGGUUGACCAAGAUCCUUUGGUCUUUGCUAGAGAACAUAUGAAAAUAGACAGAGAAAAAUAAAAUAACAUAAAAUAAAACAAAAGGGAAUAAGAAAAUGAGUAGUAGAGCUGCUUAUUUUUUAUUAGUUUAUGGGUGGGGCUAUAUAUUUACAACCUGAAAAAUACUCUGACCACUCAUUUACUUGGGACACUCAUUCAUUGUAAUUUAAAAAUAGUUAAGUUUUACUUUGUACCCUCUUAAAGUUCCAAACAUAUCCUUAAAGCUUCCUCUUUGUUUCUUCUUCGUAUAUUCUUAGCACGAAAACACCCAAGUCAAGAAUUUCUUAUAUGCUUUCAAUAUUGGUUUAACUAUGAUUCCAUAAAAGCUCUGCCCAUUGUACAAUUAUUCUUGUUCGUAUUGCAAAUUACAGAUGUUGUUAUUUCAGAUUUUGAACAACAAAUCAGUCAUUUUUUUUCUUUUCAGAUUCAAAACAAUAAAUAACCAAUUUAUGCCAGGCCUUUAGCAAACAAUAAUCAACUGGGUGUGAUAAUUGAUUUGAUAUAAAUAAGCAUGGAAUGAAUGGCACAUUUAUUGAGUUUGAGAGAAAAUUUUAUUAGUAUGAUUUUUACUACAUCAUAAAAGUGGAGAACUUGUGAGUCAUGAUUUUCUUGACAAGAAUGGUGAGCAAUAUGUUUGAAUUUUAAGGAUUAACAUUAGUUAAAACUAAUAAAUUUAUGUGGUGGAAUGCGUUCGUUGAGAAUUAAAAAUGGGAUUUAAAAUAUUUUGAGCGCUUUUCGCCACGUUCUUUCCCUUCUUGUCAUUAACGGUUGACAAUGAAAUUUUCUCAACCUCAUUAUCAUUGCUAUCUUCAACAUUACGGGAUAAAUUUGGAGCAUUUGAUGAAUUGAUUUCUAUAUUUUUUGUUUGUGACAUCGUAUUGCUGUUUAUUAUAGAAAAAAUAAUAAAUAAUUAUAAAUAAUCAUGCAAAUUACAUAGUUAUAAUACUAUGUAACAAAAUUAACUUAAAGGCAACCUAAAUGCUAAAUUUAACUCCUAUUAAUAAAAAAAAUUAUCAUACAAAUUACAUAAUUAUGAAUAUUAUGGAAUAAAUUAACUUAAAACAACCUAAAUCUAAAUUCAGCUCCUAUUAAUAAAAAAUAAUUAUAAAUAUUACAUAAUUAUAAAUAUUAUGUAACAAAUUAACUUAAAGGCAACCUAAAUACUAAAUUCAACUCCUAUUAAUAAACAAUUAUCAUUAUAUCAUACAAAAUUACAUAACUAUAAAUAUUAUGUAAUUAAGUUAAAGCAACCUAAAAUCUAAAUUCAACUCCCAUUAAUUAAGAAUAAUCAUACAAGCAUGGUAUCCAAGAAAAACAUUAAGCAUAUAUAUAACACCUAAUAAUAAUAAUGUCAAUUUCAUCAUUUGUUUUUUGAAAAAACAGCCAAAAAAAAGAUAAUACCUUGUGGUUGUGAUGGCCGAGUUGCCGCUGAGAAGGUGACGAAACAAUGGAGUGAGACGAGCUAUGAUGGUUGAUGCCAUCGCACGGUGGCUGUCGUUGAGAAGACGACCAAACGUUGGAGAGACGUUGGCUGUGACGGCUGUGCUUUGUGAGAAAUGAGAAGAGCUGACCAAGGGAGGUAAGAGGUUCCUAAAGGCGCAGUCAACACUACAGCGGUGGAUGGUGGCUGCUGCCGGAGAGACGAAAGGAGGUGCCGACUGCCGAGGUUCGUAGGUUGGCAGCAGUGAAUUGUUUCAGUGUCUGUGUUGUGUUUAGUUAUAAAAUCAAUACCCGGAUCUGCUUUUCCCAUACAUGCGGUCCGGGCCACAUGCGCCGAGUCUGGGCUGGAUCUGGUCCAGGUGCGCAUUUUUG
rnacentral:lncRNA from 1 species